rnacentral:rRNA from 1 species
AUACCGCCUAUAUACCGCCGUCGUCAGCCUACCCUGUGAAGGACUAGAAGUGAGCAAGAUUGGUAAAACCCAAAACGUCAGGUCGAGGUGUAGUGUAUGAGAGGGGAAGAAAUGGGCUACAUUUCCUAAAUCAGGAAACACGAAUAAUGAACUGAAAUGAGCAUUAGAAGGUGGAUUUAGCAGUAAGCAGUAAAACAGAGUGUUCUGCUGAAAUUUGGCAAUAAAGCACGCACAUAUCGCCCGUCACUCUCCCCGAGCUAAUACAAAAGCAAAUAUCUAAAAAACUACAUCUGCAAAGGGGAGGCAAGUCGUAACAUGGUAAGCGUACCGGAAGGUGCGCUUGGAACAAU